rnacentral:rRNA from 1 species
AUGAACGCUGGCGGCGUGCCUAAUACAUGCACGUCGAGCGAACAGACGAGGAGCUUGCUCCUCUGACGUUAGCGGCGGACGGGUGAGUAACACGUGGAUAACCUACCUAUAAGACUGGGAUAACUUCGGGAAACCGGAGCUAAUACCGGAUAAUAUAUUGAACCGCAUGGUUCAAUAGUGAAAGACGGUUUUGCUGUCACUUAUAGAUGGAUCCGCGCCGCAUUAGCUAGUUGGUAAGGUAACGGCUUACCAAGGCAACGAUGCGUAGCCGACCUGAGAGGGUGAUCGGCGACACUGGAACUGAGACACGGUCCAGACUCCUAAGGGAGGCAGCAGUAGGGAAUCUUCCGCAAUGGGCGAAAGCCUGACGGAGCAACGCCGCGUGAGUGAUGAAGGUCUUCGGAUCGUAAAACUCUGUUAUUAGGGAAGAACAAAUGUGUAAGUAACUAUGCACGUCUUGACGGUACCUAAUCAGAAAGCCACGGCUAACUACGUG